rnacentral:rRNA from 1 species
UACGUAGGGUGCGAGCGUUGUCCGGAAUUAUUGGGCGUAAAGGGCUCGUAGGCGGUUUGUCGCGUCGGGAGUGAAAACCCAGGGCUUAACCCUGGGCUGGCUUCCGAUACGGGCAGACUAGAGGUAUGCAGGGGAGAACGGAAUUCCUGGUGUUGCGGUGAAAUGCGCAGAUAUCAGGAGGAACACCGGUGGCGAAGGCGGUUCUCUGGGCAUUACCUGACGCUGAGGAGCGAAAGUGUGGGGAGCGAACAGG